GUUCUCACUUUGCUGGCACAUGUACUAAAAUUGCAACUGGACAGAGAAGACUACCAUGGCCUCUGCACAAUUCCAAAUUCAUGAUGCAAAUUCAU
rnacentral:snRNA from 1 species